rnacentral:misc_RNA from 1 species
AACUUCCAAUGUUAACGGCUAGCACAAAACAGACCUCAGAUAAUGCUAAUCCCUUUUUAGUUCAAACAGUUACAAAAGAAGGCUCAUAAAAGAUGCAUCAAGGAGCCACUAGAUCUGGAGUUUCCGCUUCAACCGACAACAAAGCCGUCCGCACCUUGCCCAACCAAUUAUCCAGACGAUCACGAAGGGACUUGAUCUGCGGUGUUCCCAGGACCCUCGGCUGCACCCAGGAGACAUGAACUGUUCCAUCAACUUGAUCGAUAAUGCCUUCGAUCAGAUGGACAGAAAG